rnacentral:rRNA from 1 species
UACGAAGGGGGCUAGCGUUGCUCGGAAUCACUGGGCGUAAAGCGCACGUAGGCGGAUUGUUAAGUCAGGGGUGAAAUCCUGGAGCUCAGCUCCAGAACUGCCUUUGAUACUGGCGAUCUUGAGUCCGGGAGAGGUGAGUGGAACUGCGAGUGUAGAGGUGAAAUUCGUAGAUAUUCGCAAGAACACCAGUGGCGAAGGCGGCUCACUGGCCCGGUACUGACGCUGAGGUGCGAAAGCGUGGGGAGCAAACAGG